rnacentral:rRNA from 1 species
UACGAGUGCCUCAAGCGUUAUCCGGAAUUAUUGGGCGUAAAGGGCGCGUAGGCGGCCCGCUAAGUCGAACGUGAAAUCCCCAGGCUCAACCUGGGAACUGCGUCCGAUACUGGCAGGCUUGAAUCCGGGAGAGGGAUGUGGAAUUCCAGGUGUAGCGGUGAAAUGCGUAGAUAUCUGGAGGAACACCGGUGGCGAAGGCGGCAUCCUGGACCGGCAUUGACGCUGAGGCGCGAAAGCUAGGGGAGCAAACGGG